UGGGGAAUAUUGCACAAUGGGCGCAAGCCUGAUGCAGCGACGCCGCAUGAGGGAUGACGGCCUUCGGGUUGUAAACCUCUUUCAAUAGGGACGAAGCGCAAGUGACGGUACCUAUAGAAGAAGGACCGGCCAACUACGUGCCAGCAGCCGCGGUAAUACGUAGGGUCCGAGCGUUGUCCGGAAUUACUGGGCGUAAAGAGCUCGUAGGUGGUUUGUCGCGUUGUUCGUGAAAACUCACAGCUUAACUGUGGGCGUGCGGGCGAUACGGGCAGACUAGAGUACUGCAGGGGAGACUGGAAUUCCUGGUGUAGCGGUGGAAUGCGCAGAUAUCAGGAGGAACACCGGUGGCGAAGGCGGGUCUCUGGGCAGUAACUGACGCUGAGGAGCGAAAGCGUGGGGAGCGAAC
rnacentral:rRNA from 1 species